ensembl:misc_RNA Metazoa_SRP Metazoan signal recognition particle RNA
GCUGGGCGUGGUGGUGUGUACAUGUAGUCCCACCUACUUAGGAAGCUGAGACAGGAGGAUCACUUGGACUCAGGAGCUCUGGGCUGUAAUGUGCUCUGCUGAUUGGGUGUUCAAACUAAGUUUGACAUUAAUAUAGUGACUUCCUGGGAGUGGGGGGCCACCAGGUUGCCUAAGGAGGGGUGAACUGGCUCAGGUUGGAAAUGGAGCAGGUCAAAACUCCCAUGCUGAUCAGUAGUGGGAUUGUGCCUGUGAAUAGCCACUGCACUCCAGCCUGGGCAACCAUAGUGAGACUCUGUCUCUU